CAGCAAUUCGUAGCUGCAUAUUCUUACAGACUAUAUAAACAUUUGGCAUUCAAGACACAAAUAGCCGACCAGGCAAUAAAAGGAUACAAAAGAAUAAUAAAUUAAUCAAUAUCUUAACAUCUCCCAGUGGGGCUAUACAACCAAUCUGUACUUAACAUUGCUUUGGAAAUUCAAGGUGAAAGAACUGUCAGGGCAGUCCAUAGUCUAACAAAUUGCAACAUCUACAAGUAAAGAAAGUAACAAUGGAACUCAACAACGUACCUACAUUUUGCCAUUACCAGAUAAU
rnacentral:misc_RNA from 1 species